AAAGGCUUUCGGGCUGAGUACAGCGGCAGACGGGUGAGUAACGCGUGAGAAUCUGCCCUUUAGUGGAGAAUACCUUCGAGAAAUUGGAGUUAAUACUGCAUACGUCCCUCCGGGGAGAAAGAUGGCCUCUUUGCUAUCGCUAAAGGAUGAGCUUGCGUACUAUUAGCUAGUUGGUAGGGUAAAGGCCUACCAAGGCGAUGAUGGUUAACCGGCCUGGGAGGGUGAACGGUCACAUUGGAACUGAGACACGGUCCAGACUCCUACGGGAGGCAGCAGUGAGGAAUAUUGCGCAAUGGGCGAAAGCCUGACGCAGCGACACCGCGUGAAGGAUGAAGGUUUUAGGAUUGUAAACUUCUGUUAAGCGGGAAGAAAAGUGUGAUCCUAAUAUGAUCACAAAAUGACGGUACCGCUAGAGAAAGCACCGGCUAACUUCGUGCCAGCAGCCGCGGUAAGACGAGGGGUGCAAACGUUAUUCGGAAUGAUUGGGCGUAAAGGGUGCGCAGGCGGCACGUUAAGUCAAUUGUUAAAUUCCCCAGCCUAACUGGGGGUCAGCAAUAGAAACUGGCGCGCUAGAGGGUGGAAGAGAGAAGUGGAAUUCUCGGAGUAGCGGUAAAAUGCGUANAUCUCGAGAGGAACACCGAUGGCGAAGGCAGCUUCUUGGUCCAUUUCUGACGCUCAUGCACGAAAGCGUGGGGAGCAAACAGGAUUAGAUACCCUGGUAGUCCACGCCGUAAACGAUGAUCACUAGACGUUAGUCGCGCUUGCGUGACUAGUGUCGUAGCUAACGCGUUAAGUGAUCCGCCUGGGGAGUACGGUCGCAAGAUUAAAACUC
rnacentral:rRNA from 1 species